rnacentral:ribozyme from 1 species
UUUUUUUUUUUUUUUCUUUUUUCAAUUUUUGUUUUUGUCUGAGUUGAAAUAUUCGAAUCAUUGUGUGUGUGAACUUUCUAGAUGCAGUGGUCCAGGCCUGAGUG